CAAGUGCGAGCGCGUAAAGCGAUGUCUGAGCGAGGUGUGACUCGCAACGGCUUUGUUCCGAAAAACACGUUUGAAAAAAUGUACCAAACUAUUUUAACAAAGAUCUAUUAAGAAGGUGUUUAAGUGGACGCAAAGAAAUGAAAACAUUAGAUAUUAAAAUUGGACUUCUAUAAAUGUUAUGUGCUGAUAAUAAGGACGCCCAGCCAAUAAAACGACAGGCGCGCCGUAGCCUACGUCGCAGUAAAGAGUCUCGAAUAGCAAAUAAACAAUACCAACUUGAGUAAAAUGACUUGUUUGAAGAAGCGGAAGGUUUACUGUAUGGGACAGGAGUAGCGGAAUUAGCAGAAAACGACUACAAAUUCAACAGGAUCCAAAAUAGACACCGUUUUGUGCCGACUCUGCCACGAUGCUCAACAUUUCUUUCAAAGAUAUUGCCUCAGCUUAGAGCCACCCUUAGCUUCUGACAUGCUGGCACCGUGCCAUAAGGCGCUAAUUCAUCUACCGAGUCUUCGAUAAUAUUCUUCGCUAU